GAAAUUACAAAGAUGAUGACAAGAAAAAUCUGAAUCAUAAUCUCAAAAUCAUGGAUUCACAAGUCACAAAGAUGCGUUCUUGAAGCUAAGCAACUUGUUCUUUUAAAGGACUCGACAAUAACUUGGAAGUCAAAAACUCGAUCAUUAAACCCUGAAGGUUCAGAGCCCUAAGGAUCAACCUUUUAAAGGCCCACAAAAACAAAACAAUUAAUUACAAAAUUGCCACCUCGUCCCUUUAUGUGUCCGCACAAUAGUACUGCAUUGUGGAAAUGCGGUCCACAUUUUGGGAUUUUAGGUCGCACUCUUGGUCCUGAGCCUUUCUUCGAUUUGAUCAUGGACUCCUUGUGCGACCACACUUUGGGUCUCCACUUCGCUUCUCUUUGCUUUUGCUCCUUUUCGCUAUCUUUUACUACUUUUUGUGGUCUCUUGGGCUCAUUUCCUUAAAUCAAACAAAACAUCAUUAAAUAAUUUUGUUUAUGAAAAGGGGCAAAUGAGUCGUAAGUUCAUCUGAUAGACAUGUUCAUUUUCAUAAACAUGUCUGUUUCUAUCUUUGAUAGACAUGUAGAUAUUGAAAAGGGGCCACAUUCUUCUGAUGGUUUUCACACACUUAAACCAAAAGUUCCAGCAACUUCCUCAGUUGUCCAGUGAUUUAGAAGCCCAUACUCCUGUGAGAUGGAUCUUCUGCAUAGGGCCAUUUCUUCAUUUCAAAAUCUCCCUAACCACUUCCGCAAUGAGUAUUUUGUAGAUUAAACUUCUUUAUGCCCAAACCUCCUUGGCUUUUGAACACAUCCCACUUUACCAGAUUGUAACUUAGCACUCAGAAUUCUCUUCUUCAAAAUUUCAAAGGACAGCAAUUUCAGGUGCCCGUCUCACCUAUUCAAAUAAAGAUUGUGAUUGUUAAUACAUUCCCUGGAGGGGAAGAGAACAAAUCAAGCUCCAAAUAAUGUAGCAAGAAGUUGUGGAGUUAUUCAGAUCUCAAAAAGGCAAAGAGCUUGGAGGGAGGCUAAUAGGUUGAAGACAUUGCAGAGAGCUGGUGCUCGGACUACUCAUAUCAAGUCUACUCGAUUGUUUUUACACAUAUAGCCUGAACGAAGUUUCCAAGUUGUUAUAUCCUUUUUCCAUUGUUCAUGAGAGGAAUUUCUUCUGAAUGUAUAAAAUUGUGCCUUCAUCUUGAACGAUGACUUAUAGAGAUGCUAAUUUUUUUUUUAGCUCUUUCGCCCAAA